GGGGGGAGUACAUCUCAAUCUCCUUCCCGUAAUGCAUUGUGUUUAAGGUAGUCCACGCCUCUUUCCUGCUCUCUCUCCCCUAAUUCGAACUCCCCUUUGGUCUCAAAUCAUCCAUCCAUCAAUCAAAUCAAAUCCACCAAAAGAAAGAAAUCUUCGCUCGCUAUCGGUCCAUCCAUGGCUGAGCUGUCGGAGAACUCUUCUCUCUCUCUCUCUCUCUCUCUCUCUCCGCCCAUGACUGAACCCGGCGCCCUGACGCACAGCCAGAGCAAACCCCAGCCACCUGGAAGACCCCGCGUUGCCGUUGACACAUGAGUCCGAGGAUGCUGCGGGGGUGGGGAGCAGGAGGUGAGAGGAUGCAGUGGGGGUUGGGAGCAGGAGGCGGGGUCAGAGCUGGAUGAGGACUGCGUGGGCCACCCGACGGUGCUCUCCCGGAGAGGCGUCGCAGGUCAUGGACGACAAGGAGACAGAGGAAGGUAGCGGCCCUAGGAAUAUACGGGGGAAGGAGGUGCGCCGCAGACUCGCAGGUCACGUACUACGAGGAGCCCGAAGGAAGCUCGGAGGCGCGGCGGCUCCUGUUGAACCUCAGCGGCCCGGCGCUCCCGCUGCAUAUCGGACACGCGGAAGCUCCCGCUGCAGCUCAGAGGCGCGGCGGCUCCUGUUGAACCUCAGCGGCCCGGCGCUCCCGCUGCAUAUCGGACACGCGGCAGCUCCGGCUGCAGCUCGGUGGGGCGGCGGCUCCCGGAAGCCCUAGCAGACACGGGGGGAUCCCAACUGAAUCUCGAGGGAAGACCGUGACCGGCGAUGAAGCUCCUCGCAUCACCUCCGCCGCCGCUGUUCCCAUCCACUGCCACCGUUCAGGUUCGUGCGUGCCCACCCUAGGAAUCCCAUACUUGCAUCAGUUGGGAAUUGGCCAUGCCGCUGAGGACCUGUGCUGUUUGCUGCGCCGUUACCAUCAGAUGAAUAGGAAAUCAACAGUAUUAGGCAUGUGUAACAUUCCCUAUGAGCCAUAAAGUACUUGUGGUGCAUGCCAUUUAUGCACAUGUCAAUCUUGGCUGCAAAUAAACAUGGAUAAUUAGUAACCAGCUAUUGUCCGCGGCUCCGCGCAUGCCAAUCCUUAGUCAGACAAAACUUGUGGUACAUGCCAUUGCUAAUUCCAGGACAAAAAAGGGGCGCAUGCCACUCCCUGUAUUAUGUUGUUCUUCAGAAUGACAAUGCGUGCACAGUUCUUGUGUACAUUGCUUUUUAUGAGAGUUUUUCUGUACUACAUUCGUGGUGACAACAAAACUGAAAAAAUGUCUAGAUGCUGAAGAGUAUAUAAUUUUUUUUUGAGAA